GCUUCACACACAGGGAUGGAAAAACAUACAUUUACACAUACGGAAUGAAAAACAAGCUAAGGCAAGCAUGCCAUGCAGUCUUUAGCUAAGCUUUGGACCUCAAACCUUUGUAGUAGCAAAUCCUGUAACAUCACAUCUAAAGUGAAACCGCUGCCAACAUCGAGAGGAAAAAUAAAAGAAAGAAAAUACACUUCAUCUGCUCCACUGGC